rnacentral:rRNA from 1 species
GGCCAGCAGCCGCGGUAAAACGUAGGAGGCGAGCGUUAUCCGGAUUUACUGGGUGUAAAGCGCAUGCAGGCGGUUCGCUAAGUUGGGUGUGAAAGCUCCUGGCUCAACUGGGAGAGGUCGCUCAAGACUGGCGGACUAGAGCGUGGUAGGGGAAGGCGGAAUUCCGGGUGUAGUGGUGAAAUGCGUAGAUAUCCGGAGGAACACCAGUGGCGAAGGCGGCCUUCUAGACCAUGACUGACGCUCAGAUGCGAAAGCUAGGGUAGCAAACGGGAUUAGAGACCCCGGUAGUCCUAGCCGUAAACGAUGUGAACUUGGCGCCGGAUGGGUAAAACCGAUCGGUGCCGAAGCUAACGCGAUAAGUUCACCACCUGGGGACUACGGCCGCAAGGUUAAAACUCAAAGGAAUUGACGGGGGCCCGCACA